rnacentral:rRNA from 1 species
ACUUGGAUAACUGUAGUAAUUCUAGAGCUAAUACAUGAAUAUGUGCUUUGGUUCACGCCAAAUGCGAAUUUAUUAGAUCAAAACCAACCGGUUUCGGCCGUUAAAUUGGUGACUCUGGAUAACUAUUCUGAUCGCAUGACCUUGUGUCGGCGACGUAUCUUUCAAGUGUCUGCCCUAUCAACUUAAGUUGGUGAGUUAGUUGCUCACCAUGGUUAUAACGGGUAACGGAGAAUCAGUGUUCGAUACCGGAGAGGGAGCCUUAGAAACGGCUACCACAUCUAAGGAAGGCAGCAGGCGCGCAAAUUACCCACUCUCAGAACGAGGAGGUAGUGAAUUUAAAUAGCGAUGAUGAACUCUUAUGAGGCUCGUCAAUCGAAAUGAGUACAAUUUAAAUCCUUUAACGAGUACCAAUUGGAGGGCAAGUCUGGUGCCAGCAGCCGCGGUAAUUCCAGCUCCAAUAGCGAAUAUUAAAUUUGUUGCAGUUAAAAAGCUCGUAGUUGGAUCCAAGGUUAGGCAUGCCUGUCUGUUCUUAGUAGCAUGACUGUGUGUGUCUGCCUUUAUUAGUUGAAUGUUCAUUAUGGUGGUCUUCAUCGACUGCUAUGAUGUGCUCAACACGUUUACCUUGAAAAAAUCAGAGCGAUCAAGGCAGGCCUUCGUGCUUGUAUGUUGUUGCAAGGAAUAAUAGAAUAGGACUUCGGUUCUAUUUUGUUGGUUUUGAGAAUUGAAGUAAUGAACAAUAGAGACAGUCGGGGGCAUUUGUAUGGUGGCGUUAGAGGUGAAAUUCUGAGAUCGUCGCCAGACAAACUACUGCGAAAGCAUUUGCCAAGGAUGUCUUCAUUAAUCAAGAACGAAAGUCAGAGGUUCGAAGACGAUCAGAUACCGUCCUAGUUCUGACCAUAAACGAUGCCGACCUACAAUCGGGGGUGGUUUAUUAUAUUGACCCUCCCGGCUGUCCUCAGGAAACUUUAAGUUGGUUCUGGGGGGAAUAUGGUCUCAAGACUGAAACUUAAAGGAAUUGACGGAAGGGCACCACCAGGAGUGGAGCCUGCGGCUUAAUUUGACCCAACACGGGGAAUCUCACCCGGUCCGGACACUGGUAGGAUGGACAGAUUGAUAGCUCUUUCUUGAUUCAGUGGGUGGUGGUGCAUGGCCGUUCUUAGUUGGUGGAGUGAUUUGUCUGGUUAAUUCCGAUAACGAACGAGACUCUGUCCUGCUAAAUAGUCCAGUGGCAUCAAUCACUAUGUGAUUACAGCUGCUGUUACUUCUUAGAGGGAUUCGCGG